rnacentral:rRNA from 1 species
UACGAAGGGGGCUAGCGUUGCUCGGAAUCACUGGGCGUAAAGGGUGCGUAGGCGGGUCUUUAAGUCAGUGGUGAAAUCCUACAGCUUAACUGUAGAACAGCCAUUGAUACUGAAGAGCUUGAGUACAGACGAGGUAGGCGGAAUUUAUGGUGUAGCGGUGAAAUGCAUAGAUACCAUAAAGAACUCCUAUUGCGAAGGCAGCUUACUAGGCUGUAACUGACGCUGAGGCACGAAAGCGUGGGGAUCAAACAGG